rnacentral:rRNA from 1 species
GACGAACGCUGGCGGCGUGCUUAACACAUGCAAGUCGAACGGAAAGGCCCUGCUUUUGUGGGGUGCUCGAGUGGCGAACGGGUGAGUAACACGUGAGUAACCUGCCCUUGACUUUGGUAUAACUUCAGGAAACUGGGGCUACUACCGGAUAGGAGCUCCUGCUGCAUGGUGGGGGUUGGAACGUUUCGGCGGGUGGGGAUGGACUCGCGGCUUAUCAGCUUGUUGGUGGGGUAGUGGCUUACCCAGGCUGUGACGGGUAGCCGGCCUGAGAGGGUGACCGGCCACAUUGGGACUGAGAGACGGCCCAGACUCCUACGGGAGGCAGCAGGGGGGAAUAUUGCACAAUGGGCGGAAGCGUGAUGCAGAAACGCCGCGUGCGGGAUGACGGCCUUCGGGUUGUAAACCGCUUUCGCCUGUGACGAAGCGUGAGUGACGGUAAUGGGUAAAGAAGCACCGGCUAACUACGUG